CAUGGCCGCCGUCAGUUCGUACCGUGAGGCGUCCUGUUAAGUCAGGCAACGAACGAGACCCUUGCAUCUAGUUGCCAGCAGAUCCCUUCGGGAUGCUGGGUACCCUAGAUGGACCGCCACUGCUAAAGUGGAGGAAGGAGAGGGCGACCGGUAGGUCAGUAUGCCCCGAAUCUCCCGGGCUACACGCGGCCUACAAUGGACAGGACAAUGGGCUCCGAUCCCGAAAGGGAAAGGCAAUCCUUUAAACCUGUUCUUAGUUCGGAUUGAGGGCUGUAACUCGCCCUCAUGAAGUCGGAAUCGCUAGUAAUCGCGUAACAGCAUGACGCGGUCGAAUACGUUCCCGGGCCUU
rnacentral:rRNA from 1 species